CAGCAGCCGCGGUAAUACGGAGGGUGCAAGCGUUAAUCGGAAUUACUGGGCGUAAAGCGCACGCAGGCGGUUUGUUAAGUCAGACGUGAAAUCCCCGAGCUUAACUUGGGAACUGCAUUUGAAACUGGCAAGCUAGAGUCUUGUAGAGGGGGGUAGAAUUCCAGGUGUAGCGGUGAAAUGCGUAGAGAUCUGGAGGAAUACCGGUGGCGAAGGCGGCCCCCUGGACAAAGACUGACGCUCAGGUGCGAAAGCGUGGGGAGCAAACAGGAUUAGAUACCCCGGUAGUCCCUGUCUCUUAUAA
rnacentral:rRNA from 1 species